rnacentral:tmRNA from 1 species
GGGGGCGUAAUGGUUUCGACGGGGAUUUUGAAGUAUUCGGAGCGAGCCGCAGUGGACAGCUGCGAAAAAAGGUCCAACUUUAAAUUAAACGCUAACAAAAACUUAGCUUACGCUGCCUAAAUUAUAGGCGCUGUCCUUCCCUGAUUACCGCGUUCGGGGGCAAGGGCAUCAAAACUAGCGGUGAACAUGAACCCGGAAAGCUUUGACCGGGUCACGAUUUUAUGAAGCUACCGGCAGAUGUUGCCUGUCUUUGGGCGUCAUCUGUGGGGAAUCUCAAACAAAGACUACGCUCGUAGCGCCGGAUAUGAAUAGGUUUUCGGACAGGGGUUCAACUCCCCUCGCCUCCACCA